GUUCUAGUGGGCCUGAGCCUCACACGGGGUCCCUGCAGCUGCUGACUGCUGCGUGAUGUAAGCAUGUUUUGCAGAUGCAGCCAGGCUCGGGAGAAGGAGUCUCAGAAAUGUCGUGUGGUGUCCAUGGUCGCUGUCCCAGGAGGAGCAGCGUGCGUCCUUCUACCCGGGACCUGGGCCUCUGCUUCCCAGCUGAGUCUAUGAAGUCAGUGUUGUUAUCCUGACAACAAAACCAGACAGAGACACCACAAGAAAAGAAGAUUUCAGCCUAACAUUCCACAUGAAUAUAGAAACAAAAAUCCUCAGAAUACCAGCAAACCAAUCCACGCAUAGUGAAAGGAUUAUGUGAUCAGAAGUAUCAAGGCAAGUCAAAGGAGAAAGGAAUAUGCAAUAAAUGACACUGAAGCAACUGGAUAUCAACAUGCAAAAAGAUACAUUGAAACGUUUUACAUCAUGGACAAAAAUUAACUCUAAGAUGGAUCACAGACUUAAAUGUAAGAGAGUUUGAAAAGAUUGCUAGGAAUAAAACAAGACAGAAUGAAAAGUUACCUGGGGCUCUGAAGCUGUCAACCAGGAGAUGAACACACCCACCCCCCACAGCUGGCCUUUGAGAUGAGCAGCGGAUCACCAUGCUGCGAUCAAGCCUGGCUGUGCCUCCCGCUGCUAACAGGAGCCCCCAGGCUGCCCCACUGGCGCUGCUGCAGGGCACCUGCAGGGAUGCGAACGCUGCGUGUCCACACACAGCCCCGUGCAUGUGUGCACACAGACAUACUUGUGUGAUUCUACACUCACGUGCAUGCACACACAGGCACACAGCUUCGCUCACAGCCUCACACUGUGUGUACACACAUGCACACAAAAAGCCUUAGGAACACACACACAUGCACACACAUGCACAUCUGUACACACUCACGCACAGUCCUAUGCACACUCAUGCACACACAUCCUGUGCCCACUGAACACAAUAAGGUCGGAGGGGCACUCUUGGAAUAGAGCCUCUUUUGAGAAUGGAUUAGGCUUCCUGAUGGUAACUGGAAGAAACGUAGAGAGAGACCCUGACAUCUCCCAGAAUUCCCACAUUCCCAUCUCCCAGCAUUCCCAUUCCCUCAGACCUCCUCCCUCUUACCUGGCUGCCUUCACCAUGGGAGAGAUCAGCAGAUGCAAUGGAAAGUCCAGGGAGGGGAGCAAUGCAAGAGCAGUACAGAACUUGAAAGAUAAAGAGGAUAGAACAAAGCAAAAGCUCUCUUUGUAUAGAUAUCUUUAUAUCCAAAGAAACAAACAGUAGGGAAUCAAGGAGAAAAUAACACCAAACCAUGAAAACUCUGCAUGCUUCAUGACUAAGAAGACCGCAUUAGCAAUCAAUUAAAAUGGCAACACUAGAAGAACCAUAAAGUGAAUCUACUGCAGUGAGUCACAGCGGCAAUUUAAAGACCAAGUUGCCGUUAACUAAGAUGCAGAUGACGCAGUCAUGGAAAGUUGCAUAUGUGCUGUCUGCCCACAUGUAACACGUGUGUCUGCCCUGGGAUAACGGAAAGACUAGCAGUAGGGCCCUCCAAAGUGAGUGGCCGCUGCAGAAGCUGCUCAGCCCCGGAUCCUGGAUGUCCAGAGUUGCAUCAACAAGCUGUCUCGGGCUGGCUGCUCGUGGCGAUUUCCCUCGUCCUGCUGGAGAGCAGCAGAUGGUUUCCCAUACUGUGUUAUAUUUAUUAACAUUCAGCCCAGACUUAAUUGACAAUACUAAACAUUGGUUCUUUAAACAUUCAGCUUCAUUAUUUGCAAUGGUAAUUUCAGUAAACAGUAGCUAUUCCAAAGCUCUGUAGUGUGAAAUUAAAUUUGUUGGUUAAUUAA
ensembl:lncRNA